rnacentral:misc_RNA from 1 species
UUAAGUUCGGCGGUAGUCCUACCCGAGUUGAGAUCAGACGAUUCGAUUUGUCCAAAGACGAUUAGCAGCGGAGGACCCAAGACCGGCCACCUUUGCAGGUGUCCUCGACGAAAUGAUACUUAUCACGCCGAGUGGUAACCGUUCCCGUGGGUUCACCAGCUAAUACGUUUGAAGCGAGCCGAUCACAAAGACCGGCAUUA